rnacentral:rRNA from 1 species
GUAGGUGGCAAGCGUUGUCCGGGAAUUAUUGGGGCGUAAAGCGCGCGCAGGCGGUUCUUUAAGUCUGAUGUGAAAGCCCACGGGCUCAACCGUGGAGGGUCAUUGGAAACUGGAGAACUUGAGUACAGAAGAGGAAAGCAGAAUUCCACGUGUAGCGGUGAAAUGCGUAGAGAUGUGGAGGAACACCAGUGGCGAAGGCGGCUUUCUGGUCUGUAACUGACGCUGAGGCGCGAAAGCGUGGGGAGCAAACAGGAUUAGAUACCCUGGUAGUCCACGCCGUAAACGAUGAGUGCUAAGUGUUAGGGGGUUUCCGCCCCUUAGUGCUGCAGCUAACGCAUUAAGCACUCCGCCUGGGGAGUACGGCUGCAAGGCUG